CUUAUCCGUUGGGUCUUGCAACGAUAAAGCGAAAAUAAACUGUCAGUUAUGACUAUUUCAAUCUGUUCCUUUGGAAAAGGGAAACAGGUGCUAGUCCAGCAUAGCUGCAUCCUGAGACUUAGCAAAGGAUAACAGUUUAGGAUGACAAUGCUAAACAUGCUGACAGGCGAUCAUUCCUGCGGUGGCCUCUCCAUUCUUGCUCUCUCCCGACACCCUAAGGCUCUGGAGACAGGCAGCGACAGCCAUCUUCGGCAGCGGCCCGGCAGCCGCAACCCAAGCCGGGUAGGCCUCGAUCCUUCAACUAUCCUCGUGGGCUCAAGGCCGAGCCUCGAGAGAGAAGCAAAAGGACAGGGCGUUGGAGAGCUUCCGCCAGUCCCGGGAUUUCCAAAUUGCUGCGGAUAGAGGCGGAAACCGAGGCGGGAGGAGGCUGCACUCCAACGACCUGGCGGAGACGGCCCAGCAGGUCCGAAAACGCACGAGAGAGAGCAAUAAAAUCAAUCUAGACAAAAUCAGGAGAUAUGCGUUAAACUCUGGGAAAAGCCAAGAUCAUAUAAGAACUCAUAGAAAGAAAUGGACAGAUGCAGGU